rnacentral:tRNA from 1 species
CCAGUGGUGUAGCGGUUAACAUGCCUGCCUGUCACGCAGGAGAUCGCGGGUUCGAUUCCCGUCUGGACCGCCA